rfam:Stegodyphus mimosarum contig49438, whole genome shotgun sequence.
GCCUUCGUGGUGUAGUGGUCAGCACGCUCGGCGCGUAUUCGUAAGGUCAGUGGUUCGAGUCCCGGCGAGGGCA